rnacentral:pre_miRNA from 1 species
AGAGGAAUAGCUGGGUCAAAUGGUGGCUCCAUUCCCAGAUUUCCAAGGAAUCUCCAUACUGCUUUCCGUAUCGGCUGCACCAGUUUGCAAUCCCACCAGUAAU